ACCGUAGCCUCUCCAAUAUUCUUCUUCUUCCUCCUCUCUUGGUAGCCACCUACCCCCUCCUUCUUUUGUCUCUAGCGACCCGCCACCAACCGGCACGGUCAAAUCCCAUCCCACGCCCAAAUUUCUUUCUUCUUUCUUCUUCUUCUUCAGCCACUUCUUCUUUCUUCUUCUUCUCCUAUUGUUUCUUCUUAUUAUUUCUUCGUCUUUUCUACUGCUUCUCACGCUAUUGAUGGCACUACUAUCCCUAACACUGAUGAACUCCACAGGGAGAAUAUCAAACGAGUUGGAAUAUACAACUCCAUGAUAUCCAAUGUGGCUUGUAAUGAGAUAUAGUAUUUUUAACUUGGAAGUUAUUCAAGUGGCUGUAAAGUUGGUCAAACAAGAGAAAGCUUUUGUGAUGGUUCGAGAUUUUAGAUCUUCUCCAACUACUGGAGUCUGGGGAUAUAGACCUUUGCUUUGCCAACGAAAACUAAGCAAAAGAGUUGAUAGGGUGAUCACUUUUUGAAGAUGAGGAUGAGGUUACUGAAUAAAAAAAUUAAAGCUUUCUUGGAUGAAACGGUUUGAAUUUUCAAUUUGAGUCUUUGAGAUAAGUGACUACUUUGUCUUUCUAAUCAACAUUGUCGGCUCUUUUAUUAAAUACACUUGUCGGCUCUUAGUUGGGCAUGUAAUUGGAGUGGUUCUAUUCAGUUCUAAUUUGUAAUGCAUUUUUUCGAUGUCUUUUUUAUAACUGCCACAUGUAUGUUAUAGUUAAUGAUGUAAGUCUGUUCCCCUCUAGGUUUUCUUGAUCAUGCUUUGAUUUUGCCUUUCAGAUUCUUGUAAGAGACCUCGAAGAAUGUGGCAACUACUUAGGAUAUUGCCAUCAUAUGCUUGAGUGACUUCUGUUUGGGAUCUACUUUUGAGAAUUCGGUUACUACUGUAGGACCAGGGACAAACUUUAGCUUCUUGUUACGCUGUCCCUCUUUUCUUUGUUUUCUGUUUCAAUGUUUGAAUCUACUUUUGUUGAUUUCAGAAAUUGGCAUUUGGGGUUUUUGGUGCUUUA